UACGUAGGGUGCGAGCGUUAAUCGGAAUUACUGGGCGUAAAGCGUGCGCAGGCGGUUAUGUAAGACAGAUGUGAAAUCCCCGGGCUCAACCUGGGAACUGCAUUUGUGACUGCAUAGCUAGAGUACGGUAGAGGGGGAUGGAAUUCCGCGUGUAGCAGUGAAAUGCGUAGAUAUGCGGAGGAACACCGAUGGCGAAGGCAAUCCCCUGGACCUGUACUGACGCUCAUGCACGAAAGCGUGGGGAGCAAACAGG
rnacentral:rRNA from 1 species